GAUGAAGAACGUAGCAAAAUGCGAUAAGUAAUGUGAAUUGCAGAAUUCAGUGAAUCAUCGAAUCUUUGAACGCACAUUGCGCCCAUUAGUAUUCUAGUGGGCAUGCCUGUUCGAGCGUCAUUAAGUCCACUUAAGCCCUGCUUAGUGUUGGGAGACUGCUCCAGCGGUGCUACCCUGUAGCUACCCUGCAGCUCCUCAAAGACAGCGGCGGAGUUGUGGUAUCCUCUGAGCUUAGUAACUUGUUCUAGCUUUCGAGUACACCACUUCCCCUGCCGUAAAACCCUUAAUUUUUAAUGGUUGACCUCGGAUCAGGUAGGAAUACCCGCUGAACUUAAGCAUAUCAAUAAGCGGAGGA
rnacentral:misc_RNA from 1 species